rnacentral:rRNA from 1 species
UGAACGCUGGCGGCGUGCCUAACACAUGCAAGUUGAGCGGUAAGGCCCCUUCGGGGGUACACGAGCAGCGAACGGGUGAGUAUCGCGUGGGUAAUCUACCUUGAGGUGGGGGAUAGCCUCGGGAAACCGAGGGUAAUACCGCAUACGUCCUUAACGUCAUAAGGCGACGAGGGGAAAGGCGGGGCUCCUUCGGGACCUGUCGCCUCUGGAUGAGCCCGCGUCCGAUUAGCUUGUUGGUGAGGUAAUGGCUCACCAAGGCUUCGAUCGGUAGCCGGCCUGAGAGGGUGAACGGCCACAUUGGGACUGAGACACGGCCCAGACUCCUACGGGAGGCAGCAGUGGGGAAUUUUGGGCAAUGGGGGAAACCCUGACCCAGCGACGCCGCGUGGAGGAUGACGGCCUUCGGGUUGUAAACUCCUGUCAGGUGGGAAGAAAAGCUUGUCGGUUAAUACCCGGCAGGAAUUGACGGUACCACCAAAGGAAGCCCCGGCUAACUCC